rnacentral:tRNA from 1 species
GCCCUCUUAGCUCAGUUGGUAGAGCACUUCCAUGGUAAGGAAGAGGUCUCCGGUUCAAUCCCGGAAGAGGGCUC